rnacentral:rRNA from 1 species
AUGCGACAGAGAGACGACGCGUUUGCCAGGGUCAGAUCCGCGGACAACGCUCCGAAUCCACCGUCCCCAGCCGCCGCCGCAGCCCAUGCCGAUGCAACCAUUGCUCCGGGGCCGCCGCCCCGGCAUCCUUGCCUUGCCGCAAAUCCACGCCGUCCGCCCAGCAAAGCUGCAGAAGCACGCCGCCCAACACCGUGCGCACACUCGCCCAGGCCGCGACCUUCCUGCACACGAGCCCCCGUCGUGGCCUCCCAUCCGCGCCUGCGACGCGCCCUGCGCGCGCUCGCCGCGCCUUGCGCGGCAACGCCUGGCCGCCCGUCGUGGCCACACGUGCCGCCCCGCGACCAAGCGCAGCUGCCGCGUAUCCCCGCCGCGCACCAGACCCCCGCGCCGGCCUUGCCAUCCCGCGCGUCCGCCCACGCCCGCGCCUCAGCAUCCGCGCCCCGCGUUGCUCGUGGAUCUGGCCGAAACCGACCAAAUUCGGCCGCCCCCGCCACCACAGCAUCAUCGGAGAAGUCCGAGGCCGCCGCGCGAGCAGUCGUCGGCCCGACCAUGCGCACCGCGCCAGACGCAUCUGGAUCGAGCGCGCCCAGCUGCGACCCCCGAGGAAGGGCGCCGAGCGAUGGAGAAGACCCCGCCGCCGCCUCUAGCACACGGGCUUUGCCCGGCGAUGGCCCCAGGCGGCGGCGAGGGGGAGGCACCGGUGGAGGGCGCUGCUUGACGGCGGGACGUGGGCUGCCGCCCGUGUCGCCUAAGCUAGGCAACGCGGGGGCCGCCCUGCCGUAUAUUCUUGGCCAAAGAAAAGGCAACUCGAGAGGAUGA